rnacentral:snRNA from 1 species
AGUCAAAUCAACCGACUCUA